GAGGAUGAAGAAGAGAAUGAGGUUGUAUAUGUAUAUAUAGAGGGGUAUAGAAAUUAAAAAAAAAAAAAAAACGGACAACGGAAAAAAAAACGGUAACAAAAAACGGACUAUUUUAUUUUUUUUUUUUUUUUUUUUUUCCGGCCGAAAAGGGGCGCGUGUUUUACACGCCCCCUCCUUCGCUCCCACUAUUCACGGGUGCGUAGCAACGCCCCCCCUCCUUCACACCCGGGUGCGGCAAUG
rnacentral:lncRNA from 1 species